CCUCCCGAGCGCCGGGAUUAAAGGGGUGCGCCACCAAACCUUUAAUCCCAGCCUUUGAUCACCACUGCCAGUAAGAAUGAACACUUCUGACAUCAGUUCAUAAGACGGUGUUAGGCUGGAGGCAGGACGUUUUUGAGGAAAUGAAAACCAAGAUCCAGUAAAAGUGCGGGACUGGCAGGAGCCUGAGCUUUGGAGAGAGAAAUAAAGGCGUGGACACAGCUCUGGUUUCCUCGACUGCAACAGCCAAAUACGGCCCACUUGGCUACUUCCUAGAGCCUUGUGAGACCUGGCGGAGUCAGUGAGUGUGAAGGAGCAAGAGUCUGCGUGUAAUGCACAGGAAUGCAAGGGACGUCAAAGCAACUGGUCACCUAUAAUCCCAACAGCUUUCCCAGAAGGUCCAUGACAUAUAAAGGGGAAGAACACACUCGUUGUUGUUUAA